rnacentral:rRNA from 1 species
UCAUGGCUCAGGACGAACGCUGGCGGCGUGCCUAAUACAUGCAAGUAGAACGCUGAAGAGAGGAGCUUGCUCUUCUUGGAUGAGUUGCGAACGGGUGAGUAACGCGUAGGUAACCUGCCUUGUAGCGGGGGAUAACUAUUGGAAACGAUAGCUAAUACCGCAUAACAAUGGAUGACACAUGUCAUUUAUUUGAAAGGGGCAAUUGCUCCACUACAAGAUGGACCUGCGUUGUAUUAGCUAGUAGGUGAGGUAACGGCUCACCUAGGCGACGAUACAUAGCCGACCUGAGAGGGUGAUCGGCCACACUGGGACUGAGACACGGCCCAGACUCCUACGGGAGGCAGCAGUAGGGAAUCUUCGGCAAUGGGGGCAACCCUGACCGAGCAACGCCGCGUGAGUGAAGAAGGUUUUCGGAUCGUAAAGCUCUGUUGUAAGUCAAGAACGAGUGUGAGAGUGGAAAGUUCACACUGUGACGGUAGCUUACCAGAAAGGGACGGCUAACUACGUGCCAGCAGCCGCGGUAAUACGUAGGUCCCGAGCGUUGUCCGGAUUUAUUGGGCGUAAAGCGAGCGCAGGCGGUUUGAUAAGUCUGAAGUUAAAGGCUGUGGCUCAACCAUAGUUCGCUUUGGAAACUGUCAAACUUGAGUGCAGAAGGGGAGAGUGGAAUUCCAUGUGUAGCGGUGAAAUGCGUAGAUAUAUGGAGGAACACCGGUGGCGAAAGCGGCUCUCUGGUCUGUAACUGACGCUGAGGCUCGAAAGCGUGGGGAGCGAACAGGAUUAGAUACCCUGGUAGUCCACGCCGUAAACGAUGAGUGCUAGGUGUUGGAUCCUUUCCGGGAUUCAGUGCCGCAGCUAACGCAUUAAGCACUCCGCCUGGGGAGUACGACCGCAAGGUUGAAACUCAAAGGAAUUGACGGGGGCCCGCACAAGCGGUGGAGCAUGUGGUUUAAUUCGAAGCAACGCGAAGAACCUUACCAGGUCUUGACAUCCCGAUGCUAUUUCUAGAGAUAGAAAGUUACUUCGGUACAUCGGUGACAGGUGGUGCAUGGUUGUCGUCAGCUCGUGUCGUGAGAUGUUGGGUUAAGUCCCGCAACGAGCGCAACCCCUAUUGUUAGUUGCCAUCAUUCAGUUGGGCACUCUAGCGAGACUGCCGGUAAUAAACCGGAGGAAGGUGGGGAUGACGUCAAAUCAUCAUGCCCCUUAUGACCUGGGCUACACACGUGCUACAAUGGUUGGUACAACGAGUUGCGAGUCGGUGACGGCAAGCUAAUCUCUUAAAGCCAAUCUCAGUUCGGAUUGUAGGCUGCAACUCGCCUACAUGAAGUCGGAAUCGCUAGUAAUCGCGGAUCAGCACGCCGCGGUGAAUACGUUCCCGGGCCUUGUACACACCGCCCGUC